rnacentral:lncRNA from 1 species
GAUUAAUCGACAAGCAGUAAUCAAAACACUCGGCCAGUGAAGGUCCGGCGCAGAAGUGUUUCAGAAUACUGCGUCAUUGUCUCGAGUUAUCCCAGCCUGUCCUCCAUGUGCGGCGCAUAUCACGUCUGGCAGCGAGGGAGCGAGAGAGGGGGAGAGAGGUCCGGGUGUGUUUUAGUGUGUGAGAGGUCCCUGAGGGACGCCGAAGGAGAAAAGGGGAUCCUCGCGGCGCCAUCACUUGCCUGUUGGUCUGAUGAGAAGUCGAUAUUUGUACGGACGGUGCGGUGGUGCGCGGACUGAAGGGGCCUGAAGUUAUUGGCCACAGGAGCGUUUCUUCGGAAGUGUGAUGCCCCUUGCUUGAGUCUGCGUAAGCUGCGCAUCUGUGGAGAGCAAACGUGUCAUGCAAGUUGUGGGACUGUGACGGUACUGCCUGGUUCAUCCGCACGACUACGAGUGACGCAAAUCAUUUAAAGAGAGAGAGAGAGAGAUAGAGAGGGAGGAGUGAGAGGGACAAGUGGGGCUCACUUCGGCAGGAAAGGCGUAGUUGGCAAUGGUAUGUUCCGAGCCCUGCAGGUCCCGCUCGCCGAAGUGAAGACGCAGGUGGCUGACGGAGUAGGUGUAGGAGAGAGGUCCUCCUGACAGGUUGACCCGCGGCCCGGAUGACGGUUUGACUCUCCAUUCCAGACUGUGGCCUGUGUUGACGAGGCUGCCCUGGACCUGCCGGGCACGCAGAGGAUAUACUUCAAAUCGUGAGGAACUUGGAAAUUGCACGGCAGCAUUAAAUAGUAAUACCAUCUGUGGUUGAAGGCACGCCACCUUAAAUAUGUACGACUGUAAAUGUUAAGACAUUACAUCAUUACUGUGAAGGAAUAUAUAUAUAUAUAUAUAUAUAUAUAUAUAUAUAUAUAUAUAUAUAUAUAUAUAUAUAUAUAUAUAUAUAUAUAUUUAUUUAUUUAUUUAUUAUAUAUGUAUAUAUACUUAUAUAAGAUGAAGCUGAAGGCAAUAUAUUUUUAUGAUAAUUAAGAGCGCAUGCAAGUUGAGUCAUACAUGAAAUUGGAUGGUAAUAAGUGUAAAAUUAUAGUCAUGUUGAUGGCAGGAGCCUGAUGGCUUGAUUGUAUUAAGGCGCAGCGGCACGGGGGUCAUGUAGCGCCGUGGCGAGCAGGGAGGUAGGGUUCAGGGGAAGGAGAGCAGGACUGUCAAUCAUUGCACUGCUGACCCUUGUUUAAUUCAUGAAUAUGUUUUUAUAUACAUAUGUCUGCAACUCAUACAUUAUUUACCUGUGGAAUUUACCUGAGUUAUGGAUUAUGCAAAUCUAUCAGUAUUGAAAUAAA